GAUGAACGCCGGCGGUGUGCCUAAUACAUGCAAGUCGUACGCAUUGGCCCAACUGAUUGAUGGUGCUUGCACCUGAUUGACGAUGGAUCACCAGUGAGUGGCGGACGGGUGAGUAACACGUAGGUAACCUGCCCCGGAGCGGGGGAUAACAUUUGGAAACAGAUGCUAAUACCGCAUAACAACAAAAGCCACAUGGCUUUUGUUGAAAGAUGGCUUUGGCUAUCACUCUGGGAUGGACCUGCGGUGCAUUAGCUAGUUGGUAAGGUAACGGCUUACCAAGGCGAUGAUGCAUAGCCGAGUUGAGAGACUGAUCGGGCCACAAUGGAACUGAGACACGGUCCAUACUCCUAUGGGAGGCAGCAGCAAGGAAUUUUCGGGCAAUGGGCGCAAGCCUGACCGAGCAACGCCGCGUGCGGGAU
rnacentral:rRNA from 1 species